rnacentral:rRNA from 1 species
UACGGAGGAUCCGAGCGUUAUCCGGAUUUAUUGGGUUUAAAGGGUGCGUAGGCGGCCUGUUAAGUCAGGGGUGAAAGACGGUAGCUCAACUAUCGCAGUGCCCUUGAUACUGAUGGGCUUGAAUAUACUAGAGGUAGGCGGAAUGUGACAAGUAGCGGUGAAAUGCAUAGAUAUGUCACGGAACACCAAUUGCGAAGGCAGCUUACUAUGGUAUGAUUGACGCUGAGGCACGAAAGCGUGGGGAUCAAACAGG